ensembl:lncRNA uncharacterized LOC107684576
GACACUGUGCGUGACGUCACGGGACGCUCCACGUGUCGCUUGUUUACAGCGAGUCUGAGGAGCAGAGAUUGUGAAAGUGUUCCUGGAUUGAGUUUCACUGCUGCUCUUCAUAUUUAGAUCUUCAUCAGAGUCGGUGAGAAUCACCAGCACACGAUAUUAGAGAGAAGAAUGUUCCAGAUGGUUCAGUUCUUAGUUCCCUCGGGGCCCAAGAGACCCGGUAACAUCAGCCUAUCUCCCCAGAGCCGACAGAACCGGACUCGGACCGCUUCCAAUGAGUUUCUGCAACACGUCCGGAGAGUCAGCGGCCUGAAACAGCAGGACGUGUUUUAUAAGCUGCGUGUCCCAAACCAGAGUCAGAGCGACAGAGACGAGAUCCACCUGCUGCUGCUCACAGGUCACGGAGUGUUCUGCAUCGAUCUGAAGACGUGGAGCGGCUCUGUUUCGGUCGCGAGUGAGGCUCAGGUCAGAGCGGAGCAGCAGAACUUCACCAGCGUCUCCAUCGAGCAGCUGCCCGACGCUCUUCAGGCCAUUACAGAGAAAACCAGCAACCUGCACAGCCAUAUGAAGCGCUGCGGGCUGAACCUCCGGCCCAGUCUCUUCAUUCCCAGAGUGCUGUUCCUGUCUGCGGACUGUGUGCGGAGCGCGGAUCUGCUGCAGACGGAGCAGCUGCUGUCCUGCGCAGACGUGGAGCCGUUCCUGUGCUCGCUGCGCGAGGGAUACAUGUCCUGGCUCUCCGAUGCCUUCACGCCGUCCUGGAUCUCCGGUCACCUGUCGUAUGGGCAGAUGCGGGCGGUGCGGGAGCGGCUGGAGCUCUUGGGCACCUGGGAUGUGCUGCAGAUGAGCAGCGGUCAGGAGAUCGCCGGAGACUUCCAGGGCUGCCAGCAUCUCGCCCUCAACCGACAGGAAACAGAGCUGCUGGAGUUCAGCAGAACAGGAAGUGUGAUCACAGACGCGCUGUGGAGCCUGCUGGGACACACGCCGCAGGUCACCGUCUCCAUGUAUAAGCGAGGAGCGCAGGGGUGGCUGGGUAAACCGCUGAUCGCCACGGCAACCAUCCCCUCCAGCACACGCGUGAUCUUCCGCAUCCGAGGAGAACCGACAGACGGCAAGAUCCCGGUGGGCAGCGUCCGCUCCAUCACGCUGAGCAUCUGAAGCCCUGCAGCUUUAUUCUCUCCGCAGUGAUUCAUUCCAUGCGCUCGAUAGCACAAUCAUCACUACUGACACCACUCAUGUCUUUAUCACACCAAUCAACAAGAGUUUCAAACGUGCUUUAUAUCUUUUUAAUAUUUGAUGAUUGCUGAGAAAUGUUUUACUUUUCUAAUCAGACAUCAGCCUGUAUUCUGAACAGUGUGAGUCCAGCGUUCAUGUUUUCGUACUCUUCACAGUCUAGUAAAUCUUCAUGGUAAUUUUAAAAAUGUUACUAAUUUCUUUAAAGUGACUUUAAAACUCUGAACAUAGAAAAGAUCCCGGUUGGUUUUGUCAAACUGACGAACAUUUCUUGGCCAUUAUUCAAAUGAUGAAGAUAUUUUGAUCUGUUAAAGCCUCAAUAUUUUGUCAGUUAAUUUGAAAUGAUUGAUAUUUCAUGCAAUAAAAUAC